AUCAGAGUGGCGCAGCGGAAGCGUGGUGGGCCCAUAAUCCAUAGGUCCCAAGAUUGAAACUUGGCUCUGAUA
rnacentral:tRNA from 1 species